rnacentral:other from 1 species
CGGUGGCUGCUCAAUUUGUGCAGGUAUCGACAUUCCCUGGGGCUAUAAUUUUCUAUCGGGAGCUGUCCCUGUCGAGCUCGUGGGUUCGAUAUCAUGGCACCCACCUGUACCAACAGGCCACAGAGGAUUGCAAACAACCCACGGUUGGCGCGGCGCCGUC